CCUCCAGGGGAGACAUGUCAUGUUCAUCACUGCCUCCUCCUCAUCAAGUGGUCUGCUUUCUUCGGUUCUGUAACUUUUGCAGGUCAGUCUGGGCUGGGCUGAGCAUGUGAAAACAACAACUGAGACUCUCAUAGGAUGGAUGCCAGACAGGAGACACUGAACAUCCUGAACAAGAUCUGGGUCAAGCUGCAGGGUCUGCCCAACGCCCACCCCAUAGAGCUGGGAGCUUUCUUUGUCAUCUUAACCUUCAUCUUGGUUGUCCUGCUCAUGACAGUGCUGACGUGCGUGACCUGCUGCUGUCGCAAAACCAAGACGAGGGGAUUGAACAUUUGAGCAAAUGUGCUCGACGCAAUGAAACAUAACAGCAGAUAGAAACAUCAAGCUUUCUCUGCGGCUCUCAAGCAUAAUGUCAUGGUCAUAUACUUAAUAGAUACUGAAGACCUUUUGGUGAGCGACGAAGCUUUAUACAGGGUGUGUUUAGUAGCACUAAAGGAGCCUUUCCAUUGAACAACAAAACACCUGACAAACACAGCGAUGGAUGUCCUGACAAACACACCUGCUAAAGCUGCCAGGUUUCCAGGACACUCUACAAUCCGUGGAGCAUUGCUGCGCUUUACAGGGCAACAACAAUGCUUCUGACAUGAGGAAACCCAAAGUAAAUUGAAUAAUGCAGGAAAAUAAAUGAAACAUGAGCUACAAAGAUGUGUAGAAUAAUAAUUUAAAAAAAACUGCAGUGAGUUGCACAGUGAGAUAUGAAGAGGAGAGCCAACUUGUUUUUUUUAUGUAACUAUGUGUCAUUCUUAAGGAAGGACAAUUGGCAUUCCAAGUUCGGUAUGAUCCUCCUAGGGGAGUAGCUGUUUUCAAACCAGAAAGUGUUCCUUGACAUAAGUCACAACAAAGCAUAAAACAGAGAUCAAGUCUGCCCUCUGCUGUACACAAACCAGAAAGAACUAUGAUUUAAUUUGAAAGGCACAGCAUGCUUGUAAUGACAGUUAUGUUUUAAUGUAUAAAGCUGCAUGUUAUAUUAUGUGUAAGGGGGGGAGACAUUAUGUAUUGAUGUGAUACUUUGACUAAACUUUUGUACGCAAUACACAAAAUGGGACUUGCA